AAGAUUAUGAAAUUGAUGAAGAUUUACUCCUUCCUCAACAAUUAGAAGCUUAGAGGUUAUUACUGAAGAGUUACUACUUCAUUUGUUUUGUUAUGUACUUGUAUUUGGACUUUUUUGUUAUGUACUGGACUUUGGACUUUGAAGAUGUUUGAAACAAUUUUAAGUGUUUGAAGUUGGAUAUUUUAAUGUUACUUUAGUAAGAGUUGGAUAUUUUAAUGUUAUUAA